rnacentral:rRNA from 1 species
UAACUGAAGAGUUUGAUCAUGGCUCAGAUUGAACGCUGGCGGCAGGCUUAACACAUGCAAGUCGAGCGGGGGAAGGUAGCUUGCUACUGGACCUAGCGGCGGACGGGUGAGUAAUGCUUAGGAAUCUGCCUAUUAGUGGGGGACAACAUCUCGAAAGGGAUGCUAAUACCGCAUACGUCCUACGGGAGAAAGCAGGGGAUCUUCGGACCUUGCGCUAAUAGA